rnacentral:rRNA from 1 species
UCCAGACUCCUACGGGAGGCAGCAGUGGGGGAUAUUGCACAAUGGGGGGAACCCUGAUGCAGCGACGCCGCGUGGGUGAAGGAGCGUUUCGGCGCGUAAAGCCCUAUCGGCAGGGAAGAAGGAGGACGGUACCUGACUAAGAAGCCCCGGCUAACUACGUGCCAGCAGCCGCGGUAAUACGUAGGGGGCAAGCGUUAUCCGGAUUUACUGGGUGUAAAGGGGGCGCAGACGGCAGCGCAAGCCAGGAGUGAAAGCCCGGGGCCCAACCCCGGGACUGCUCUUGGAACUGCGCGGCUGGAGUGCAGGAGGGGCAGGCGGAAUUCCUGGUGUAGCGGUGAAAUGCGUAGAUAUCAGGCGGAACACCGGUGGCGAAGGCGGCCUGCUGGACUGCGACUGACGUUGAGGCCCGAAAGCGUGGGGAGCAAACAGGAUUAGAUACCCCAGUAC